GUCAUGGCUCAGUAGUAAAGCAUCUGCUUGGCAUGCAGAAGCUCCCAGGUUCAACCCCCACCAUCACCA
rnacentral:tRNA from 1 species